UUUAAGGGUCGUGGGAGAUGACCACGUUGAUAGGUUAUAGGUGUAAAGCUGGCAACAGCAUAGCCGAGUAAUACUAAUUACCCGUAGAUUUAUAGCCU
rnacentral:rRNA from 1 species